GACUGAAUAGCAUUCUAACCUCCAACAACAAGGUGUCUGCAGAACGCCUUUUGUUUAGAUUGUCUCAGCACCCUUUUGUAUAAACAAUUCCUUCUGUCUCCUCCCAUAGUAAUUCCAGUGGCUACAGGGGUGGGCCUGUGACCCAAAUGUGCUGAUCAUGUGCCCCAUCCCCUUGUCUGCAGGAGCUGCUCAGAUAUUUUAAAAGAAGUUAUGGGAAUUAAGGAACAAUGAAGAGAUAAAUGAUUGAGCUGGAAAAAAGAAUAAAAUAUACCACUAGAAGUUC
rnacentral:lncRNA from 1 species